CCAAUAGCGUAUAUUAAAGUUGUUGCAGUUAAAAAGCUCGUAGUUGAAUUUCGGGACCAAUUUGUUGGUCGUGCCUCGGUACGUACUGGUAUUAUUGGUUUCUACCUUCUGAAGAACCUUGAUGUCAUUAAUUUGGUGUCUUGGGGAAUCAGGACUGUUACUUUGAAAAAAUUAGAGUGUUUAAAGCAAGCAUACGCUUG
rnacentral:rRNA from 1 species